rfam:Triticum aestivum genome assembly, contig: Triticum_aestivum_CS42_TGACv1_scaffold_328821_4BS
UUCCUACUCCCUCCGUCCCGAAAUACUUGUCGGAAAAAUGAAUGUACCUAGGCAUAUUUUAGUUCUAUAAAUACAUCCAUUUUAAUUCAUUUUUGCGACAAGUAACUCCGAACAGAGGGAGUACAAU